UACGUAGGGGGCGAGCGUUGUCCGGAUUUAUUGGGCGUAAAGAGCCCGUAGGCGGCUGUUCGAGUCGGGGGUGAAAGCCCGAGGCUCAACCUCGGAACUGCCUUCGAUACUGCGGGUCUCGAGUCCGGGAGAGGUGAGUGGAAUUCCUAGUGUAGAGGUGAAAUUCGUAGAUAUUAGGAAGAACACCAGUGGCGAAGGCGGCUCACUGGCCCGGUGCUGACGCUGAGGCGCGAAAGCGUGGGGAGCAAACAGG
rnacentral:rRNA from 1 species